rnacentral:rRNA from 1 species
AUCAUUCACAAUGGGCGAAAGCCUGAUGGUGCGACGCCGCGUGAGGGAUGAAGGUCUUCGGAUUGUAAACCUCUGUCACUGGGGAGAAAACGCUUUGAGUUAAUAGUUCAAAGCCUGAUUUAACCCGGAGAGGAAGCAGUGGCUAACUCUGUGCCAGCCGCCGCGGUAAUACAGAGACUGCAAGCGUUAUUCGGAUUCACUGGGCGUAAAGGGUGCGCAGGCGGCCGUGUGUGUAAGGUGUGAAAUCCCGGGGCUCAACCCCGGAACUGCGCCUUAAACUACAUGGCUAGAGUACUGGAGAGGGUAGCGGAAUUCACGGUGUAGCAGUGAAAUGCGUAGAUAUCGUGAGGAACACCAGAGGCGAAGGCGGCUACCUGGACAGUUACUGACGCUCAGGCACGAAAGCGUGGGGAGCAAAAGGG